ensembl:lncRNA
AAAAAUUAUGAUCAAGUGUUCAUAAGUACGGACAAAGCAAAAGAAUAUAAUUCGUUUGAGAAAAAUGAAAAUGCCCAACCAGAGUCAUGUACCAUUCGUAAUACUCAAGGUAAUACGGAAUCCGAACAAAGCAACGAACAAACUAACGCACAAACUAGCAACAAAAGGAACGACUAUAACUAUUCAAGUAAUAUUUUAGACCCAAACAAAACAAGUACAAAACAAAAUAACUUAACCAUAAGUAACAUGCAUACAGAAAAGCAUGACUUACUACAAGACAUUCACAACCACAAAAAAAAUAAUAUCCAACAGGAUGAUGCAAAAAAUAAAAAAAGAGUUCAAAAUAANNNNNNNNNNNNNNNNNNNNNNNNNNNNNNNNNNNNNNNNNNNNNNNNNNNNNNNNNNNNNNNNNNNNNNNNNNNNNNNNNNNNNNNNNNNNNNNNNNNNAAUAUCCAACAGGAUGAUGCAAAAAAUAAAAAAAGAGUUCAAAAUAAGUUUGCACUGUUAGAAAAAAAUAAAAACAUAAUAAAUAUAAAUGAUCAAAAUAUAAAUAAUAUGCUAAUAAACAGUAAAUCAAACAAAUUAAAUAUUAAUGAGAAAAAAAAGAACGACCAUUUUUAUAAAAUUUUUUUUUCUUCUAAAAAAGUAAAAAUAAUUAAAUCACAAAAUCAUCCUAUUUUUAUACAUUUAUAUAAAUUAGCCACUGAUAAAAUAUAUCGUAAAAAACAAGAAAAAAUAUUAUUAACAAGUCAUAAAAUUAUAUUAGAGAGACAAAAAAAUCAUAUUAUUAGAUUAUACACGAACAGUAUAGAUAAUUUAAAACAUUUUAAAACCUAUGAUAAUUUUAUAUUACUAUCUAAUAAAUUAUUAAAAAAACUCUCUUUUUUAUAUUCUUAUAAAAAUGGUGUAAUAGCUGAAGUAUCACAUAACUUUUAUUUUGACGAUGUUGGUCUACCUCAUCUCGCUUUUUGUUUUUAUAAUAUUAAUUAUGAAUAUGAUCAUAACGAAUGUAAACCAAAAUCGAAUUUAGAUUUGUCUUCAAAAACUGAAAGUACUAAAAGUAAUGUCGUUGUUGGUAAUGACGAACAGAUAAUUAAUGAAAGACGUGUAGCAAUACGAACAGACAUAAAUCCGUCCCAAUAUAAAAACCCAUCAGAAUAUUUAUGUAAUGGUGAUAUAGGAACACUAAUAAGAAGCUGCUUUUUGUUAAAGUGGCAAUGCAUAUUUCGUGUAACAGAUUCGUUUAGGAAAAGGGAAGGUCAAGGAAAAGGACAGGAACAAAAACAGGGACAAAAACAGGGACAAAAACAAGAACGUGUAUAUCCCAAAAAAAAAGGUGGUUACAAAAAUAGAGACAUUAAAAGCAUAUAUGACAUAGAUUUUUUCCACCCUCUAACUAUACGUGCAUCCGCUGGCUAUUUGUUGGAUAUUCCUUAUAAAAAAAUAAACUUACAAGAGUUAAUUGAAUACGCUAAAGAAAACAAAAUUUUGUUAUUGAAGUAUAGUGCGCAUAGUGACAUAUAUCUUGAUUACAAAACUGGAAACGAUGACAGUAGCAACAAUAGUUGUAUCACCUUUUCAAAUUUGAUAAAUAAUUCUAAAGGAGCUUUUCUCAUAAUAGACAACUGUAAUAAUAUAGAGAAACGAUAUAAAACUGUUCAUAAAAAUUAUAUUAUUACAACUAAUAAUAUAAAUAAUAAGGAUAAUAUAAAUAAUAAGGAUAAUAUAUUUAAUAAUAUAUAUUAUGUUAACUUAAAACAUAGUAAUAAUAGAACAUUGAAUCUUGUUUCUAUUUACUCUAUUUUUAUGUAUAUAUUAAAAAGUAAUUAUUUUAAAUCUAUUCCACAGUCUCCCUAUAUAUGUAUUGGAUAGGCUAGGAUAGGCAGUUUGGUCUAUUUAAACUAAACACUGCAAAGGAGGUGUGUCACUAUUCAUGUUCCAUGUUCCAUUUUUUUUUUUUUUUUUUUUUGCUACUUUAUUUUUGUUACUUGAUUUCGAAUUAAAAAAAAAAAAAAAACAAGCAUACAUAUUAGUUUUGUAUGUACAUAUAUAUAUGUAC